rnacentral:rRNA from 1 species
AACGAACGCUGGCGGCAUGCCUAACACAUGCAAGUCGAACGAGCCCUUCGGGUCUAGUGGCGCACGGGUGCGUAACGCGUGGGAACCUGCCCUUAGGUUCGGAAUAACUCUCCGAAAGGGGUGCUAAUACCGGAUAAUGUCUUCGGACCAAAGAUUUCUCGCCUUUGGAUGGGCCCGCGUUGGAUUAGCUAGUUGGUAGGGUAAAAGCCUACCAAGGCGACGAUGCAUAGCUGGUCUGAGAGGCUGAUCAGCCACACUGGGACUGAGACACGGCCCAGACUCCUACGGGAGGCAGCAGUGGGGAAUAUUGGAACAUGGGCGAAAGCCUGAUCCAGCAAUGCCGCGUGAGUGAUGAAGGCCUUAGGGUUGUAAAGCUCUUUUACCCGGGAUGAUAAUGACGGUACCGGGAGAAUAAGCUCCGGCUAACUCCGUG